rnacentral:rRNA from 1 species
UGAAUACGAGAUGCUAAGGCGUCGAAGUAGUGUAUGUCAUACUUCCAAGAAAAGCUUGCACUGUCAUAGAUAAAAAACGCCUGUACCAUAACCGACACAGGUGGGUAGGUAGAGUAUACUAAGGGGCGCGAGAUAACUCUCUCUAAGGAACUCGGCAAAAUAACUCCGUAACUUCGGGAGAAGGAGUGCCUUAUUCGUAAGGUUGCAAUAACAAGAUCCAAGCAACUGUUUAUCAAAAACACAGGUCUCCGCUAAGUCGUAAGACGAUGUAUGGGGGCUGACGCCUGCCCAGUGCCAGAAGGUUAAAGAAGUUGGUUAGCAAUUGCGAAGCUGAUAACUGAAGCCCUGGUGAACGGCGGCCGUAACCAUAACGGUCCUAAGGUAGCGAAAUUCCUUGUCGGGUAAGUUCCGACCCGCACGAAAGGCGUAAUGAUUUGGAUACUGUCUCGGAGAGGGGCUCGGUGAAAUAGACUUGUCUGUGAAGAUGCGGACUACCUGCACCAGGACAGAAAGACCCUAUGAAGCUUUACUGUAGCUUGAAAUUGAAAUUGGACUUUAUUCGCGCAGUAUAGGUGGGAGGCGUUGAUUAUAAUCUUGUGGGAUUAUUGGAGCCAUCAGUGAGAUACCACUCUUGUAAUGUUAGAUUUCUAACUUUGAUCAUUAUCUGGUCAAAGAACAGUUUCAGGCGGGCAGUUUGACUGGGGCGGUCGCCUCCUAAACGGUAACGGAGGCGUACAAAGGUUUCCUCUGAACGGUUAGAAAUCGUAUCUAGAGUGUAAAGGCAUAAGGAAGCUUGACUGUGAGACCUACAAGUCGAGCAGGGACGAAAGUCGGUCUUAGUGAUCUGACGGUACUGAGUGGAAAGGCCGUCACUCAACGGAUAAAAGUUACUCUAAGGAUAACAGGCUGAUCUCCCCCAAGAGUUCACAUCGACGGGGAGGUUUGGCACCUCGAUGUCGGCUCAUCGCAUCCUGGGGCGGUAGUACGUCCCAAGGGUUGGGCUGUUCGCCCAUGAAAGCGGUACGCGAGCUGGGUUCAGAACGUCGUGAGACAGUUCGGUCCAUAUCCGGUGUAGGCGUUAGAAUAUUGAGAGGAGCCUUCUUUAGUACGAGAGGACCGAGAAGGACAUACCUCUGGUGUACCAGUUAUCGUGCCAACGGUAAACGCUGGGUAGCUAUGUAUGGAGUGGAUAACCGCUGAAAGCAUCUAAGUGGGAAGCCCACCUCAAGAUAAG